CGUAUCUCCUAUAGAGUCAGCCUGCCCAGUGAUUUUAACGGCCGCGGUACUCUGACCGUGCGAACGUAGCAUAAUCACUUGUUCUUUAGAUGAGGACUAUUAUCAACGGCCUCACGAGGAUUUUACUGUCUCCGUUUUCCUAUCGGUGAGACUGAUCUCCCCGUGAAGAAGCGUGGAUGAUAUUAUGAGACGAUAAGCCCUAUGGAGA
rnacentral:rRNA from 1 species